UACAGAGGGUGCGAGCGUUAAUCGGAAUUACUGGGCGUAAAGCGCACGUAGUCGGCUUUGCAAGUCGGGUGUGAAAUCCCCGGGCUCAACCUGGGAACUGCAUCCGAGACUGCAUUGCUAGAGUAUGGGAGAGGGAAGCGGAAUUUCUGGUGUAGCAGUGAAAUGCGUAGAUAUCGGGAGGAACACCAGUGGCGAAGGCGACUUCCUGGCCUGUUCUUGACGCUGAGGCGCGAAAGCUAGGGUAGCAAACGGG
rnacentral:rRNA from 1 species